rnacentral:rRNA from 1 species
CCUACGGGAGGCAGCAGUGGGGGAUAUUGCACAAUGGAGGAAACUCUGAUGCAGCGACGCCGCGUGAGGGAAGACGGUCUUCGGAUUGUAAACCUCUGUCUUUGGGGAAGAAAAUGACGGUACCCAAAGAGGAAGCUCCGGCUAAUUACGUCCAAGCAGCCGCGGAAAUACGUGGGGAGCGAGCGUUGUCCGGAAUUACUGGGGGAAAAGGGAGCGUAGGGGGGGGAGAAAGUUGAAUGUUAAAUCUACCGGCUAAACUGGUAGCUGCGUCCGAAACUUCUUGUCUUGAGUGAAGUAGAGGAAGGCGGAAUUCCUAGUGUAGCGGUGAAAUGCGUAGAUAUUAGGAGGAACACCAGUGGCGAAGGCGGCCUGCUGGGCUUUAACUGACGCUGAGGCUCGAAAGCGUGGGGAGCAAACAGGAUUAGAUACCCCUGUAGUC